CUUGACAUAAUAAACAUAGGGGGUCCUGCCUGCCCAGUGACUGAAAAGUUAAACGGCCGCGGUAUCUUGACCGUGCGAAGGUAGCAUAAUCAUUUGUCUCCUAAAUAGAGACUGGUAUGAAUGGCAAGACGGAGCUCCACUGUCUCCUCCUCUUUAAUCUGAACUUCACAUUCCCGUGAAGAGGCGGGAAUUAGUUCGUAAGACGAGAAGACCCUGUCGAGCUGUAGUUAAACUUUAAUUGUUACUCACCCUUAAGCCUAACUAAUAAUAUUAAAAAUAGUAGACCUUAAGGUAUAGCAAGUUAAAACAAGCUUUGAUUGGGGCAAUCCCGGAGAAAGAAAAUCCUCCGUUACUAUAUGGUUAUAUUUAAUCUAAAAUAAAAGAAUUAUUAUUCUUAAAGCAUAAAAUGAAGACGUGAUCCACUUACAGUGAUCAAAAGAACAAG
rnacentral:rRNA from 1 species